rnacentral:rRNA from 1 species
GACGUAGGGGGCCAGCAUUGUUCGGAAUUACUGGGUGUAAAGGGUUCGUAGGCGGUGCGGCAAGUUGGGAGUGAAAUCUCUGGGCUUAACCCAGAGGCUGCUUCCAAAACUGCUGUGCUUGAGUGUGGGAGAGGCGCGUGGAAUUGCAGGUGUAGCGGUGAAAUGCGUAGAUAUCUGCAGGAACACCCGUGGCGAAAGCGGCGCGCUGGACCACUACUGACGCUGAGGAACGAAAGCUAGGGGAGCAAACAGG